CUCUUCUCUCCCCCAUCCCCGAUUCCUUUCCUAUCUUCUCUCCCCAUCUCUCUGAAACUACCACGCAGCACCCUCCCUCCCUCAACGGCCGCUGCUGUUGCUAGCCCCCCUCCCACCGUGCAGCGCAGCGCGAUCCAGAGCAGAUCGAGGCCACCAACAAGCCUCCGUCCUCCUCCGCUCAGCACCCGAUCCACCUCCCGUGUCAUGCACGGAGCAUGCAGGGAGCCUGGCGGCUGGAGUUCGCCGGCCGUUGGCGCCCUCCUCCCCUACGACCGGCACAUCCACCCUCUAGCUCACCUCCUCGCGCUGAUGGCCGGCUCGCCACCGGCGAGCAGCACCAACAGCAGGACCGCCGCCGCACCUCACCGCUCUCUUCUCUCUCCCUCUGGCCUUCCAUCUCCUUUCUCCCGUCCUCCCUUUUCUCUCCCGCUCAUCUCUCACUUCUCUCGCAGGCACCCAACGCAUGGCGUGCCUCGCCCCAUUCCUGGGCUCGGGCGGCGCAUACGCCCGCCGUGGCGCAUCUCCUGCCUUGGCUUCUGCGGAGUCAGCGCCGGCGGCAAGCGGCGGGGCAUUCACGGCGGUUAAGUGGAGGCAGGGUGUUUUUUGCAAAAAACGAAACGUUAUCCAGAUUUAAGUAGGACCACGGGUUAAUUCCUAAGAAACAGGGGGACUUUUUUGCAAAAUGACCAAUGACGGACGACCAGAAGCGAUCGCUGGUUUAUUUAUUAAUAAUUAUAAAAUUAUAAAUAUUAGUAGGGAUAGGGAAAGAGGUAUUAGAAGAAAACGGAAUCCUCCGAUCUCCUCCCCUCGGCCCAACGAGCAAUAUCGAUCCAGACCCUAGUGCCGCGGUACCUCUUCCACCCCGCCAAGCCAACCUCCAUGGCCACCCGCCGAAACGUCGACGAUGAAGUGCGCCUCGCCACCCGGACGGAACCCCGGUAAGACCGUCGCGAUCGAGCUUGGAAUUGGAUGGGGAUGUAUAAAUUGUUUCGUUGCAGGGUUGCAGAGGGAGGGUUCUCUUCUCGUCUACAUAGAUCACUGCGUAAUUUCAGUCGGAUUUCUGGCCGAUUGCUCGGCCCUACUUCGGGCUAGUUUUACUUUUACCAGCUUACCCAUAUAUUGUUCUGUAGCGCCUCACGGAUAAUGCGAAUUAUUAUCUCGUAUAAGUUGAGAUAAUGUGGUGCUCUGUUUAUUUUUUAUUUUUGGGGUACUUCAGGAGCCUAGAGGCGUCGGCGGCGCAAGACAUCUUGUUCUUGAAGGAGGCUCUCGACACUGCAACAUUGGGGGAAUCAUCUGUUACUGCCACUUCCUCUUCCUGCCCGCAGGUGGAGACAGUAGCUGCUGAUGAGAGAGGCGUCGGGCUCUCGCCGCCACCACCUGGGCGUUUGUCUCCUAGUCCUGGGACACCGGCCAUCACGUCCCGGAGACCUUAUAAUUGGGCCAAGACAUUUAUCAUCAGAACUGAUCUCCGGGGAUCAGUCCACAUAUACCCUCCUAUUGGUGGGCCAUUCCAGAGCGUACAGGAAGCUGAUGAUGCUAUCAGUCGCCAUCUCGAUGACCUGCGGGAUAAGAACGUGUGCUUAGAUGGGAUGUCCUGGAGCGAGAGAGUUACAAGGCGGGCUCUUUACCGGCCUGAUGGUACAAGGAAGAAGCUUUCAAAGUCGUUAUUAGAACCCGAAAGGCUUAACCAUACACGCCUAUUGGUUCAAGCUCUACUGGACAAAUAUAACGAGGACCACAAUCUUUUGGGGAAUCUCGCAUAUGAACUCAAAGAUAUUGUGUGCAUCCAGUCAGUUUGUGAGGGCAGCCCCCAUAAGUACGACUGGUACUAUCAUCUCAAUUUCACUACAAGGGCUAAAGGAGAUGAUGAAUUUCACAGUGGCACCGAUAAUCUGUUCUUUGCGGAAAUCACACAUAUUGGAGGACCAUAUAAAGAUUUUGCGCUCAGCUGUUUCUACAUGCUUAAAUCUAAUGAUAAUGGUCACUGCCGCGGUUGUACGUAUAACAAAAGGGUUAACUUGAAGCACCCUAAUGAUGCUGAUGAAUACUCUGGUGGUCACUUGGAUCCAUAUUUGCCAUACGGUGGUGACACUAAUAUUCAACAUAGCAGCUCUGAUGAGAAUUUGGACGCCGAGGAGGAAGCUAGGCUGCAAGCUAAGGAGGAGGCUAGGGUAAAGCGUAUAUACGCGUGCCUUGAUGAUCCUACUUUUUUUGGAGAAAAUGAGAAGGCGCUUCAAAGAUGAUCCGCGUGCCGAAGCUUUUUUCCAGCCAAAAAAAAGUCAUGACCCUCAGCAUGCAACACCAUUAGCGAAUCAGCAGGGUGGAGUGGAAGAUUGAAGCGGCCUACUCCACCUUUUUAUUUGCCUCAAACUAAUUUGGAAGAUAGGAAUUCUGUAGAAAUUCUAAUGGCCAGGGGAGGAGGGAGAAAUACAAUUGGUACCAGCUAGGCUCCAAGUGGUGUCCUCUGGGGAAGAGGGAGGACGGUGAUGCUGCUUCUGAAGUUUUGUGCAAGAUCGAACGUCUUCAUGCAUUCCAUAGAAGCGCCUCUUCAUGAAGAUAGUUUUCUGUACGUUAGCUCGUUCGAACUAGUAGUACCUUGUUUUGUGAUCGCCAAUUUGCUCAUCUGGCCAGUAAGGGCCGGUUGAUGUAAUAGUGUAAGACUCGCUUAACAUUUGCCUAUGUUGGGUUUAUUAAUUCAAAGUCGGGCGCUCCUUGUGC